AUCUGCCUAUUGGUGGGGGACAACAUUCCGAAAGGAAUGCUAAUACCGCAUACGUCCUACGGGAGAAAGCAGGGGAUCUUCGGACCUUGCGCUAAUAGAUGAGCCUAAGUCGGAUUAGCUAGUUGGUGGGGUAAAGGCCUACCAAGGCGACGAUCUGUAGCGGGUCUGAGAGGAUGAUCCGCCACACUGGGACUGAGACACGGCCCAGACUCCUACGGGAGGCAGCAGUGGGGAAUAUUGGACAAUGGGCGGAAGCCUGAUCCAGCCAUGCCGCGUGUGUGAAGAAGGCCUUUUGGUUGUAAAGCACUUUAAGCGAGGAGGAGGCUACUCUAGUUAAUACCUAGAGAUAGUGGACGUUACUCGCAGAAUAAGCACCGGCUAACUCUGUGCCAGCAGCCGCGGUAAUACAGAGGGUGCGAGCGUUAAUCGGAUUUACUGGGCGUAAAGCGUGCGUAGGCGGCUGAUUAAGUCGGAUGUGAAAUCCCUGAGCUUAACUUAGGAAUUGCAUUCGAUACUGGUCAGCUAGAGUAUGGGAGAGGAUGGUAGAAUUCCAGGUGUAGCGGUGAAAUGCGUAGAGAUCUGGAGGAAUACCGAUGGC
rnacentral:rRNA from 1 species